ensembl:snoRNA small nucleolar RNA SNORA68
UUUGCACCCUAACCCAAAGGUCACUCCUGCUCUGUGGUGUGAUUUUUGUCUGGUGUGCAAACAGUAACCAGACCCUUGUCGCCUUUCUCUGAUGCUGCCGUGCCUUUGAAAGUGAAUUCAAGGUUCAACAUGU